GCAAGGAAUCUUCCGCAAUGGGCGAAAGCCUGACGGAGCAACGCCGCGUGGGGGAGGACGCCCUUCGGGGUGUAAACCCCUUUUCUCGGGGACGAAGUACUGACGGUACCCGGGGAAGAAGGACCGGCUAACUACGUGCCAGCAGCCGCGGUAAUACGUAGGGUCCGAGCGUUGUCCGGAGUUACUGGGCGUAAAGCGCGCGCAGGCGGCGGCGUUGGCCCGGCGUGAAAGCCCCCGGCUCAACCGGGGAGGGUCGUCGGGGACCGCGCCGCUUGAGGGUGGCAGGGGCUGGUGGAAUGCCUGGUGUAGUGGUGAAAUGCGUAGAGAUCAGGCGGAACACCCGUGGCGAAGGCGGCCAGCUGGGCCACCACUGACGCUGAGGCGCGAAGGCGUGGGGAGCGAACGGGAUUAGAUACCCCGGUAGUCC
rnacentral:rRNA from 1 species